rnacentral:rRNA from 1 species
CCUACGGGUGGCAGCAGUGGGGAAUAUUGCGCAAUGGGCGAAAGCCUGACGCAGCGACGCCGCGUGAGGGAUGAAGGUCUUCGGAUCGUAAACCUCUGUCAGCAGGGAAGAACGGUCACUGUGCUAAUCAGCAGUGAAUUUACGGUAUCUGCAAAGGAAGCACCGGCUAACUCCGUCCCCGCAGCCGCGAUAAUACGGAGGGUGCGAGCGUUAAUCGGAAUUAUUGGGCGUAAAGCGCUCGUAGGCGGUAUGUCAAGUCAAGGGUGAAAUCCCCGGGCUCAACGUGGGAACUGCCUUUGAAACUGGCAAGCUGGAGUGUGUGAGAGGAUAGUGGAAUUCCAGGGGUAGGAGUGAAAUCCGUAGAUAUCUGGAGGAACAUCAGUGGCGAAGGCGACUAUCUGGCACAUAACUGACGCUGAGGAGCGAAAGCGUGGGUAGCAAACAGGAUUAGAUACCCGUGUAGUC